GACGAACGCUGGCGGCGUGCUUAACACAUGCAAGUCGAACGGAAAGGCCCUGCUUUUGUGGGGUGCUCGAGUGGCGAACGGGUGAGUAACACGUGAGUAACCUGCCCUUGACUUUGGGAUAACUUCAGGAAACUGGGGCUAAUACCGGAUAGGAGCUCCUGCUGCAUGGUGGGGGUUGGAAAGUUUCGGCGGUUGGGGAUGGACUCGCGGCUUAUCAGCUUGUUGGUGGGGUAGUGACUUACCAAGGCUUUGACGGGUAGCCGGCCUGAGAGGGUGACCGGCCACAUUGGGACUGAGAUACGGCCCAGACUCCUACGGGAGGCAGCAGUGGGGAAUAUUGCACAAUGGGCGGAAGCCUGAUGCAGCAACGCCGCGUGCGGGAUGACGGCCUUCGGGUUGUAAACCGCUUUCGCCUGUGACGAAGCGUGAGUGACGGUAAUGGGUAAAGAAGCACCGGCUAACUACGU
rnacentral:rRNA from 1 species